UACCUGCCAAAGGUCUGUUUACCUGACCUUUAUCUCAGCCUCUGGAAACAUGUUUCCUAAGUCUGUUAGUAGGCACGAGAAGCUGCCUUCUUCCUGUCCACUGCCAAGAGUAUCUGCCUUGCAAAAGGCUUUGGGCCAGAUCAUCACCUUGCAGAACCUGCUUCACUGGGAAAGAUGCCGGGCAGCCUUGGGGGAGCCGUAGGUGGGAGCAUCAGCAAAGGCCAUAGGAAAUGUUCUCUCAAGAAGGGCCACAGAGAAAAAGAAGAGCUUAGCUGCUUUCCAGACUGUCCUGGCUAUGAGGACCCGUGAGUCCCCAACUCUGCCAUCUAUCUUGUCAAGUUUAAUGAAGCCGCUUCCUAACAUCCUUACCUGCUGUUUGUAGAAAAGGCUACCGAAUCCCUCUCUCUACCAUGAACUUAGCUCUUGAUGUACUUUAACUGACGUAAAACAGUAACACAGAAGCACUGGAUGUGUGGUCAGGGGAAGAAGGCGGUCCGACUGUGAUGCCGGAAUUCAGAGAAUUAACCAGAGAGAUGGCCGUCCCCGGAGGGCCUGUGUUCUCUCGGUCCUAUCAUGUUGCACGGCCACCACCACUAGCAGUACUUCACACGUUCUUUGUAUCACCUGUGUUCAGAGGUAGAGCAGUGACUUCUGGCCACCAUGCAUGAAAAGCAACCGAAUCAAAAUCCAGACAGCAACAAUCUCCUGGGAGAUGUCCUGUCACAUGUUUUUGAAACAGUUUCACUCUCGAGCCUGUGCGCAUCCGAAGUCUCCCAGAUGCUGAGGUUCCAGACAUGUGUUACCACAUUCAGCUGAGUGUUAGAUUGUGUUGUUGUUCUGAGUUUCUAGGGACUCUUUAUCACAGAAGUGAUAGCUUGGUCAGGGAGGAUCGGACGGAACACGGUCCCAGAGAAGAAAGACCCAAUCCCAAGGCCGUGAGCACUCAACAAAGUGUAGGUUCCCUCGGCAUCCAUUUCUGUGACUUGCAAAAAUUCUAGGCCUUGGUCUCUGAAUGGGUGACUGGGCCUUAGAGUUGACAUUUCUGAAAGAUUAAACAUCUGUUGGCCCUCAAAACCCAUUUGUCUUGCACACUUAGCUUUUAUGGCAUCUUACUCCCAAGAGCAACAUGUUACAAGCCCUGUGGCAGGAGGGAGAAGAUAGGCCAUGCAUGUCCCUUCUCAUUCUGUGCUUCAUUGAAUAGGGAUUUUUAUGCCAGUAUGUCUACAUCACAACUGGGCUUAUGCAUGGUGUGUACAUGAACAGAUUCAUACAACUACACACACCCAGAUAUCCCAUGCACACUGGAAACCUUUCCUGGGUAGCUUUGCUCAGUAGAAGCUACAGAUGAGGGCAAAUACUGCGGAGGACCUCCCUGCAGGUGCUGGGAAUCCCCCUGCCUCCUACCCCAACCUCCAUGUUGGCCUAGGUAUGUGUGGAGAAGAAACUGCAUCUGUCUGGCUUGGUCAGGAAAGCAGAGGCCAUGUACUCUUCAGGCAAACAACAGAGUCCAUCAAAUAGAGCGAGAAGAUUCUCAAACCAGAAAUCUUCAGAGAGGGUCCAUUGGCCUCUAAACAGCAUCGUGCUGUCUGGAAAGAGAGAUCCCUUAGAGAUGAUCCCUCUCAGCCAGAGCUUUGCGGGACACAGCCAGCCUUUUUAUUCUCUCUAAUGACUACCGACACCACCUUUUCCAGAAAGGAAGCAGAAUCUGAGGAGACCAACGUAGACCAGUCAUGAGCUCCGGUGCCUUCAAGCUCAGGGAUUGGAUCAGUCUGAGGGUCUAAGGUUCCACCCACUUCCUCGCCGGCUGAGGGGAGGUCCAAUUCAGGUCUAGUCACUAAUGGCCUGCACACUGGAACCAGAAGCCUUUGGGGGGCAGGUGUGGGGGCAGGGGGGAUACGACUGCCAUUUCCUCUGAGCUCUCCCCUGGUCUCCCCUGAACAUAAUUCCUGAGCAGUGACCUCCAGCAGAGUGUGAGGUGACUUCCUUCCAAGCAAUGACAGAGGGGAACGACAGAGGAAUACCCAGGCUUUUUGGUUCUGGGGGUCACAACGCCCCCAAACAAUCUGCACGUGGCUCUCGAGAGCUCAAGGACCAGUUUAAGAACUCAUGUGGUCUCUUCCUGUAAGCUGCUGUGGGAGAGUUACCAGAAGGGAGGCUCCUUGUGACUUCACUGUGGUGCCUGCUGAGGUCCGAGGGCUCAGUUGCCCACCCAUCCAGGAAAGCCUAACAUUCAGGUAGAUUCAUCUGUUAAUAGGUUAUGGUCAGGCAGCCUUUGUCUACCUAGUCUGUCACUCACAAUGAACAGCAUGACUUACAGCUGGUGUGAGCGCUACCAUCCCCUCCAUGGCCCCGAAGCUGCUUUUUUUUUUUUUCUGUUUGCUUUGCUGAUUGUGAAUACUUCCUUCAGAAGAGGAAAAUGCUGGCUGUGCCCUUUUGGGUGUGGAGGUGCCUGGAAACGCUGGGCUGUGAAUAGGCAGAUGACGUGGCGUGGGCUUGCAAAGGUUCAGGAUGUGUAAUGAGUGACACGCUGCCCUGGAGGCAGUCCUGUUAGCAUGUGUGUCGGAAAUGGCGAUUAACCCCGAGAGCCUAAUUCUGCCCUUCCUCCCCCUCCUUCUUCCUUUCAUUCAGUAAACAUUUAAAAGUGGUGCUGUGUCAGGCACUGUUCCAGGGUCUGGAAAGGACCAAGAGGAAGGGAAAGAUCUCGGCUAGAGGUGAGUAUGGAGGGAAAGUCAGUGUAGAGGGACAAGAACGAAGGUGUGUCACAGGUGCCCUGGAGAGCUUUUGGGUCCCACAAGGAAAAGUAUAAGAAGGUUCCAGAAAGAAGUAAGGCUCAGGUGGAGUGAGCACAGAAGGUGUCUGAAGGAAAACAGACCCAAGUAAAGUGGUUUAGACUUGGGUUAUCCCUUUCCUGGCACCACAGUGUUUUAGACAGAAGCAUGGUCGCAGUGUCCUCUUAAUGAGGUCAGUUCAAAACCAGGACAGGGCCCAGGAAGAAGGGGUGGCUGUCACAGCUGCCUGUGGCUGGCAAAGGCCAUGGACCCAGAUAUCUUUUUGUGUGCUCCAUGGGGAGCAGUCUCAAGCAGGCAGCAGGCCCUUUUGAAGAUCAUGGACCCCACUGUGAAGAUGGUUUUCAGUGCAGUCAACAUAGUGAUCCUGAGAAUCCAGGCCUGUGGAUACUUGCAGGGAAGUUGAAGUUCAGUGAACUGGUGAAUGAACGCCGUGUUGGAAUCCAGGAAAGCUGGGGAAGAAACAGAGGUAACCUCGGUUAAGCCCAAGGUUUCCCUUAGCCACCCUUCCACUCAAGGAAAAGUGGCUCCUACUUGGUGACGGUACCUUCUUGAGAGACACAAAGAUGAUUAAUUAAUGGAAAUUAACUUUAUGAAUAAUAAAUACUCAGUCGGAUGAAGUAGCAUUUCCAUCUGUCAGAUCUUCUGCUGUAGCCAUUUAACUACAGCUGGAGCGCCAGGAAAACCAUCAACAGAAAAAAAAAACCCACAUCAUGUUGCGUUCCGUUUAAAGUUGUAUCAAAGGCUCACUAAGCAAGUGGAGGCAUGAAAAGCAGCCAAACCCAGAAAUGUGGCCUUGAAGCCCUGCCUCACCUGCUGUCCCACAUGCAGCUGGUGGCUCACUCUGAACUCUGCACUGGUCUAUUGUCAGUCAAAUCCGAACAUGUCAAAAUGAGUCUUUCCAUUUACAUUCUACUCACAAGGAAAUGAUGGGCGUCCUUUUUACUGUGCAAACAGCAUGCAUGUUUUCUCGGUACCUCAGUAGCAUAGCCUCCGGGUGUAGACAAGCUACAGUCAGUCAUGUUUGUUGUAGAGUGACAGACACUGUGGAGUUGGUGUAUACUCUGGGGAAGGCUCUCUUCUGCUCCUCAAGGGGGAUCAACACAUUAUGUCAGACCCUACAGUGGCCUUGAAGCUUCCUUUCAGUCUCCUUGCCUUUCCGCAGUGCGUGUGGAAGAGGCACACGAUCUGUAGUUUCAUCGUGUGAACGUGAGACAAGGGAAUUGUGAAGGUUCUUCUCUCUCAUCUUGAAAGGUCGUCUCAGUGUUCUGCCUUCCACGCCUGCUGUUUAAGUUCAUACUCACCAGUACUAGGUGGUCUCACUGGUUCUGGACAACUGGAAAGAUCAGUGAAAUAAAAUAGGAAGUAUUUUGUAACUGAGUGAAAAAAAAA
rnacentral:sRNA from 1 species